GAUGAAGACGUAGUGAAAUGCGAUAAGUAGUGUGAAUUGCAGAAUUCAGUGAAUCAUCGAAUCUUUGAACGCACAUUGCGCCCCUUGGUAUUCCAUGGGGCAUGCCUGUUCGAGCGUCAUUUGUACCUUCAAGCUCUGCUUGGUGUUGGGUGUUUGUCUCGCCUCUGCGUGUAGACUCGCCUUAAAACAAUUGGCAGCCGGCGUAUUGAUUUCGGAGCGCAGUACAUCUCGCGCUUUGCACUCAUAACGACGACGUCCAAAAGUACAUUUUUACACUCUUGACCUCGGAUCAGGUAGGGAUACCCGCUGAACUUAAGCAUAUCAAUAAGCGGAGGA
rnacentral:misc_RNA from 1 species